ACUUCAGCCCGAGCGCGGGGUUAGGGCUUCAUUGCCUUGUGUCUUCUGCUCCGGGAGACUUCGGUGAUUCUGCCACUCACUCCGUCGCUCUGUGACCUGCUGGCAUUGAAUGAUUUAUAGCUAAGACUCCAGGACACCCCUGAAGCCGAGAAAUGGAACUCUUAACAUUCAGGGAUGUGGCCAUAGAAUUCUCUCCAGAAGAGUGGAAAUGCCUGGACCCUGCCCAACAGAAUUUAUAUAGAGAUGUGAUGUUGGAGAACUACAGAAACCUGGUCUCCCUGGUGGAAAAGCGAGAUUUUCUUUGACCAUUGGCUAUGGACAUUGUCAGGGAUGGUGCAGCCUGAAUGAGAAUGUCUGCAGUAUUUCCUGAAAUAAGUAUCCCUCAAGGAUGAUACUGUGGACCUCACUCAGGAAGAAUGUGUCCUUCAGAGAAAGCUGCGCAGAGACGUGGUGCUGGAGAAGCAGUCAUCUGGUUACUUUGGCAUGAAUGAGAGAUCCUUUCGCUUCACAUCUUUGCCAGCAUUUGGUGUUGUCAGUGUUCUAGAUUUUGGCCAUUAUAGUACAUGACUUCAGGCUCCUAUGUGC
rnacentral:sRNA from 1 species